GGGGUCCACGAGACCACGAAUCCACGAUGAAGAAAAAAAUCCAACGCGAGCGAGCGAAUCAUCCCGCCGCGUCGUGCGCGCGCGCGAGUGAGCUGUCUCCGCCGCAGCUCCAUCGCCUCCACCACCCCCAUCACGCCCCUCCAAGAUCGCAUCGCGCAUGAGGCGGCGAACGGAGGCCGCGAGGAGCCGAGCUCGCCCCCGACACCCCCGCGCCCACCGCUCCGAACACCCGCCGCGGUGGAUCCUGUACGAGCGUGUCUCCCACUGCUGCUACAGCACGGGACACUCGGCAUAUGACAGCAUGCCGAUGCCCCCACGGACAAAUCCGGACGCCGUUUCACUGCAGCUCCCAACAGCGCUCGGAUCCGGGGCACUGCUCCUCCGGGGGACUGGAUGCCACUGUGCCGCCGCGGCCCGCCAGCCACCGCAGGGCAGAGAGAUUAAUCAGCUGCAAACCGAUGCAAUUAUGCCUUGGGAAGGAGCUGAUCGUGAUCGGUUGGGACCGGCCGCAAUGAUUCGGGCCCGGCCAGGAUGUUCAGAGUACUCUGCCGCAGGUCCGCGCAGCGCAAUCAAUCCAAGGCGCGGUGAAUUCUCUUCUACUGUUCGCGGCGUUUACUGGCGGCUUCAGGCCUUCAGUACAGGUGAUUGCAGGACCGGUGAAUUGGAAGUGUAGUGGCAGCCCUGGCAGGUAAAAGAAAAAAAAUGUAUAUUUAGGUAUAAACUAAGAGAGGGUCAGGAAGGAGAUCAGCGAUGACCUAAUAAUAACUCUAGUAGACAUGCAAAGUCUGAAGCUGAAGCUGAAGCGAGGCUGCAACUUAGACUAAUUCUCUAUUAUUACUCAGCUCUAAGCUAGCCUCUGUUGACCAUAAUUGCUCAAUCCUGAUGGCCUAGUGAUCUGGUCCAGCUAGGCUGGAAAUUAUAUCAGUUUGGUAACAGAAAUAUUUUCAGUAAUAUGUUUUUUUUUUG